rnacentral:rRNA from 1 species
AGUGAACGCUGGCGGUAGGCCUAACACAUGCAAGUCGAACGGCAGCACAGUAAGAGCUUGCUCUUACGGGUGGCGAGUGGCGGACGGGUGAGGAAUACAUCGGAAUCUACUUUUUCGUGGGGGAUAACGUAGGGAAACUUACGCUAAUACCGCAUACGACCUACGGGUGAAAGCAGGGGAUCUUCGGACCUUGCGCGAUUGAAUGAGCCGAUGUCGGAUUAGCUAGUUGGCGGGGUAAAGGCCCACCAAGGCGACGAUCCGUAGCUGGUCUGAGAGGCUGAUCAGCCACACUGGAACUGAGACACGGUCCAGACUCCUACGGGAGGCAGCAGUGGGGAAUAUUGGACAAUGGGCGCAAGCCUGAUCCAGCCAUACCGCGUGGGUGAAGAAGGCCUUCGGGUUGUAAAGCCCUUUUGUUGGGAAAGAAAAGCAGCAGGUUAAUACCCCGCCGUUCUGACGGUACCCAAAGAAUAAGCACCGGCUAACUUCGUG